rnacentral:rRNA from 1 species
UACGAAGGGGGCUAGCGUUGCUCGGAAUUACUGGGCGUAAAGGGCGCGUAGGCGGACAUUUAAGUCAGAGGUGAAAGCCCAGGGCUCAACCUUGGAAUUGCCUUUGAUACUGGAUGUCUUGAGUUCGGGAGAGGUGAGUGGAAUGCCGAGUGUAGAGGUGAAAUUCGUAGAUAUUCGGAGGAACACCAGUGGCGAAGGCGGCUCACUGGUCCAUUACUGACGCUGAGGUGCGAAAGCGUGGGGAGCAAACAGG